rnacentral:rRNA from 1 species
UACGUAGGGCGCAAGCGUUGUCCGGAAUUAUUGGGCGUAAAGAGCUCGUAGGCGGCUUGUCACGUCGGGUGUGAAAGCCCGGGGCUUAACCCCGGGUCUGCAUUCGAUACGGGCUAGCUAGAGUGUGGUAGGGGAGAUCGGAAUUCCUGGUGUAGCGGUGAAAUGCGCAGAUAUCAGGAAGAACACCCGUGGCGAAGGCGGCUCUCUGGAACGCAACUGACGCUGAGACGCGAAAGCGUGGGGAGCAAACAGG